GUUUGUUUGUGUUUUUAUUUUUUUGUCUGCAACCUUUAGCUUUAUUGCCCAUGUGUGUGGGAGAAGUGUAAAAAUGGGAUCUGUGAUCUUUUUUUUUUCCUGACAGAAGUAAAAAUUUGUUAACCAAAUGUGAAUGUCAAACCAUUGUGCUUACUAUGUGAUGCAGUAUUUUUACUAAUCCAAACAUUAUGUAGCCUAAAGAAAAGCCUAUCCUCGAAACACUGGAUUCAAGAAGCUGAAGGAUACACUCUGACAUGGACUUGGAAUGAUGUUUUUGUUUAACAAAAAUACAGGUGUCCAGAAUGCAGAAGUAAACAGACACAGUUUAAUAAUGUUGUUUAGGUCUUUUACUCUACAUUGUGACCUUGAAUCUUUGAUGUAUUUAUUAUUUGUGAUUAACCUAAUUUUUUUGGACUCGAGAGCAGCCUUCAGCUUGUUAACCCUCACA